rnacentral:rRNA from 1 species
AUACGUAGGGAGCGAGCGUUGUCCGGAAUUACUGGGUGUAAAGGGAGCGUAGGCGGGAGUGCAAGUCAGAUGUGAAAUACAUGGGCUCAACCCAUGGGCUGCAUUUGAAACAGCAUUUCUUGAGUGAAGUAGAGGUAAGCGGAAUUCCUGGUGUAGCGGUGAAAUGCGUAGAUAUCAGGAGGAACACCGGUGGCAAAGGCGGCUUACUGGGCUUUUACUGACGCUGAGGCUCGAAAGCGUGGGGAGCAAACAGGAUUAGAUACCCUGGUAGUCCACGCUGUAAACGAUGAUUACUAGGUGUGGGGGGACUGACCCCUUCCGUGCCGCAGUUAACACAAUAAGUAAUCCACCUGGGGAGUACGGCCGCAAGGUUGAAACUCAAAUGAAUUGACGGGG